rnacentral:rRNA from 1 species
UACGUAGGGCGCAAGCGUUGUCCGGAAUUAUUGGGCGUAAAGAGCUCGUAGGCGGUUUGUCGCGUCUGCUGUGAAAACCCGGGGCUCAACCCCGGGCUUGCGGUCGAUACGGGCAGGCUCGAGUUCGGUAGGGGAGACUGGAAUUCCUGGUGUAGCGGUGAAAUGCGCAGAUAUCAGGAGGAACACCUGAGGUGAAGACGGGUUGCUGGGCUGACACUGACGCUGAGGCGCGAAAGCCAGGGGAGCAAACGGG